rnacentral:siRNA from 1 species
UGCCCGCGUCGCGAUAGUA